UCUCUGACACAUAUGUUCAUAACUUGAUUUUCUUUGUUUUUUGUUCCAGAUUUUUUUUUGGUUGUUACGAAAGCAUCUUCUUUGAUUUUUCUUAGUCUUUUAUUCAACAUUUUUUCCUUCUGAAUGCUAAAGGAAAGAGAAGAAGUGAGCAAUAUGGAUGGUCGACACGUGUUCCACAAGAGGUGACUAGAGGGAUGGUUUAGUUCUUGUUCACUUGAUUUGGUAUUGUCUUGUCAUUGUUUUAGAUUGAUAUUAUCACCGGAGGAAAGAGCAAGAAGACCAAAAGACAGCUUCAAAGUUCGAUGAUGUCUACCUGAAGAUUUCUGUUAAGGUAAUACUAUGGGGUAUCUAUUACAUCAUUGUGUUUGUUCCAUUAGUUGAAUCUCCAUGACUUGUUGUCUGAAUAGUAUGUCACAAUGAAUUAACUUGGCAGAUAUACAAAUGGUAAGGAGAACUGACAUCAAGUUCGAUGUUGUGAUUUUUAAGAGAAUUUUCAUGAGCAAAGUCAACAAAGCCCCUCUUACAUGUGCUAAGAUGGUUUCUGGUUAUCAGUCAAGAUAUCCGUCUGUUCCCUAAACAUCAAGUUAUUUUUGUUGCUAUCCAGUUGCUCAAAGUGCAAGACAUUGUUUCUUGUAUUUUAUUAGAUUGUGUAAUGAAGAUGUUUUUAAGUUAUGAUCUACUAAAUGGUUAUCCUCUGCAUCCUAUCUUGGUGCUGCAGUUUAGGUAAA